GACGGAAGGUGCAAGCGUUGCUCGGAAUCACUGGGCGUAAAGGGUGCGUAGGCGGCCGUGCAAGUCUGGUGUGAAAGCCCCGGGCUCAGCCCGGGAAGUGCGCUCGAAACUGCGCGGCUCGAGUGCCGGAGGGGAGAGUGGAAUUCCUGGUGUAGCGGUGAAAUGCGUAGAUAUCAGGAGGAAUACCGGUGGCGAAAGCGACUCUCUGGACGGUAACUGACGCUGAGGCACGAAAGCGUGGGGAGCAAACAGG
rnacentral:rRNA from 1 species